CGUAGGGGCGAGCGUUGUCCGGAAUUAUUGGGCGUAAAGCGCGCGUAGGCGGCUGGUUAAGUCCUGUGUGAAAGACCACGGCUCAACCGUGGGGGUGCACGGGAAACUGGCCGGCUUGAGUGCAGGAGAGGGGAGCGGAAUUCCCGGUGUAGCGGUGGAAUGCGUAGAGAUCGGGAGGAACACCAGUGGCGAAGGCGGCUCCCUGGCCUGUAACUGACGCUGAGGCGCGAAAGCGUGGGGAGCGAACAGGAUU
rnacentral:rRNA from 1 species